GGGGUGUUAGGGCACGACACCGGAGAGGGAGCCUGAGAAACGGCUACCACAUCCAAGGAUGGCAGCAGGCGCGCAAAUUACCCAAUCCCGACACGGGGAGGUAGUGACAAUAAAUAACAAUACGGGGUUCUUUAGGAUCUCGUAAUUGGAAUGAGUACAAUUUAAAUCUCUUAACGAGGAACAAUUGGAGGGCAAGUCUGGUGCCAGCAGCCGCGGUAAUUCCAGCUCCAAUAGCGUAUAUUAAAGUUGUUGCAGUUAAAAAGCUCGUAGUUGAAUUUCGGGGUUAGUAGGUUGGUCAUGCCUCUGGUAUGUACUGGUCUCACUGAUUCCUCCUUCCUGAUGAACCUUAAUGCCAUUAAUUUGGUGUUUUGGGGAAUUUGGACUGUUACUUUGAAAAAAUUAGAGUGUUUAAAGCAAGCUAACGCUUGAAUACAUUAGCAUGGAAUAAUGAAAUAGGACGUUCGAUCCUAUUUUGUUGGUUUCUAGGAUUGACGUAAUGAUUAAUAGGGAUAGUUGGGGGCAUUAGUAUUCAAUUGUCAGAGGUGAAAUUCUUGGAUUUAUUGAAGACUAACUACUGCGAAAGCAUUUGCCAAGGAUGUUUUCAUUAAUCAAGAACGAAAGUUAGGGGACCGAAGACGAUCAGAUACCGUCGUAGUCUUAACCAUAAACUAUGCCGACUAGGGAUCGGAUGAUGUUAAUUUUUUAAUGACUCAUUCGGCGCCUUACGGGA
rnacentral:rRNA from 1 species